rnacentral:rRNA from 1 species
CCUACGGGCGGCACCAGUGGGGAAUAUUGCACAAUGGGCGCAAGCCUGAUGCAGCCAUGCCGCGUGUAUGAAGAAGGCCUUCGGGUUGUAAAGUACUUUCAGCGGGGAGGAAAGUGUUGAGGUUAAUAACCUCAGCAAUUGACGUUACCCGCAGAAGAAGCACCGGCUAACUCCGUGCCAGCAGCCGCGGUAAUACGGAGGGUGCAAGCGUUAAUCGGAAUUACUGGGCGUAAAGCGCGCGCAGGCGGUCUGUCAAGUCGGAUGUGAAAUCCCCGGGCUCAACCUGGGAACUGCAUUCGAAACUGGCAGGCUAGAGUCUUGUAGAGGGGGGUAGAACUCCAGGUGUAGCGGUGAAAUGCGUAGAGAUCUGGAGGAAUACCGGUGGCGAAGGCGGCCCCCUGGACAAAGACUGACGCUCAGGUGCGAAAGCGUGGGGAGCAAACAGGAUUAGAUACCCUCGUAGUC